UUUUAAAUAAUAAAUGACUGGGAUAGACUUUGGUAAGAGCCUAAGGGGAGAUAGUUUUGUUAAUGAAGGAUGAUAAACUUUGGUAAGGGGAGAUAAUUUUUCAAAUCAUAAAUGACGGGGAUAGAUUUUGAUAAGAGCGUAAGGUGAGAUAUUUUUGUUAAUGAAGGUUGAUAGACUUUGGUAAGGGGAGAUAAUUUUUCAACUCAUAAAUGACGGAGAUAGACUUUGGUAAGGGGAGAUAAUUUUUUCAAAUCAUAAAUGACGGGGAUAGACUUUAGUAAGAGCCUAAGGGGAGAUAUUUUUGUUAAUGAAGGUGGACAUACUUUGGUAAGGGGAGAUAAUUUUUCAAAUCAUAAAUGACGGGGAUAGACUUUAGUAAGAGCCUAAGGGAGAUAUUUUUGUUAAUGAAGGUAGACAUACUUUGGUAAGGGGAGAUAAUUUUUCAAAUCAUAAAUGACGGGGAUAGACUUUAGUAAGAGCCUAAGGGGAGAUAUUUUGUUAAUGAAGGUGGACAUACUUUUGUAAGGGGAGAUAAUUUUUCAAAUCAUAAAUGACGGGAUAGACUUUAGUAAGAGCCUAAGGGGAGAUAUUUUUGUUAAUGAAGGUGGACAGACUUUGGUAAGAGGUGAUAAUUUUUUAAUGAAGGAGAAUAAACUUGGGUAAGGCGAGAUGAUUUAGGGGAGAUAAUUCUUUUAAUUACAACUGGUGUUUUUUUUAAAGUUGUGUCCCCUUUAAUGAAAAAAAAACAGAUUUGAUAGUUACAUUAAUGGAAAAAAAUGAGACUUACAC
rnacentral:lncRNA from 1 species